GCUUAAGAUGAUAGAAUAUAUUGUGAGAAGACAAAAGUGAGUGUGGCUAAAAACAUCUACUUUGUUGCUGUAAGAGACAGUUCUGGUAUUUUUUUUGAGAUUGGAACUGAACGUGUUUGGAGGUUCGUUGACGAUUCUAGGAUACUACGACUCUACACAUGGCAAUUUUGCACACCGACAUACACGAAGGACGAUUCUCUUCGUGGUGCAGUGUCUGGACACAACAACUAUUCAUGGUGCAGUGUCUAGACACAACAACUCUUCGUGGUGGUCUAGACUACUUUUGGAGGGUUUGGAUGUUUGAGACUAGUAUUAUAGAGAAGAUAAGUUAGUGAAUGAGUUGGGUUUGGAGGGUUAGGAUGAGAGGAUAAGGAAUUUUUAAUUUAUUUACUAAACAAUGAAGGAUAAUUUUGUUCAAAUAAUUGGGAACAUAAGGCUAAAAUGCUCAUUUAUAAAAAUGGGUGUUCUCAUAUAUAUAACACAUGACUAAGAUGAAAAAAUAACUCGUCUACCCCCCAAAGCAUGAUUCCUAAGGCACCAACCUCCUCUAUCCCCAAAGCAUGAUUCCUAAGGGCCCAACCUGUGAGCUACCUCGUAGAGUCCUUUAGGAACCAUAUCUCAUAACACUCCUAGCAUUACCACCUCUCGGAAACUCAUCAAGACUGGGAUCUGGAAAUGAAG
rnacentral:lncRNA from 1 species